UGAAAAUUUCUAUUCAGGCUACUGGAAUUGGUUAUUAAAAGAAAAAGGAAAAAGAAGAAUCUUGCUGCUUUCAGUAUUUCCUGAUUUUUUUGUAAAUAUAAAGAGGAACUUCAAUUAUGAAAAAUUUUUAAAAGAUAUAUAUAUCUAUAUAUCUAUAUAUAUGUACUGUUUUGUUUCCUGUCUUGAAGAUUUUGAGUUAUGGUUAUUGGUUUCAGAUUGAUUAAUUCACAUAUGCUGUGUUUUGAAAUGAGAUCCCAUUAGCUUUUUUUUUUUUUUUUUUUCAAUAUAAAGUGUUUUCUUUAAAAGUCUGAUAUUGGUUCGUGGCCUAGUGCCUUGGAUUUUACAUAUUUUUCUUUUUAAAUGCAAAACCUUUUCAACAAAAUAGUGUUUGUCAUCAGGUUGGUACUAAACAUUUAUAAUUACUGUGUAAUUAUAAACAAAAAUACAUAAAGCUUUGAAUAUAAUUAUGUAGGAUAAAAGUUAAGGUUGUUCACUAUGAUGGCAUCUUAGAAUUAAACAAAACUUUUACUAGGGCUGAAAAGAGAAGACUGAUUUAAUGUGGUGUGAUUAUUCUGAAGAUAAAUGUCUGGCUACAGGGAAUAUUUUGUACUAAAAAAUGAUUACACAUAUGGCUGUGUGUGUUUGAGUCUGUGUCUGUGAGAGAGCCAGAGAGAGUGAGAGAGAUUGACGGAGAAAGGGAGAGACACACACACGCCCCUUGAAUUGCUUUAACUCCUAAGUGUUUCAGUCCUCAUUCCGGUAAACUCCCCAUGCUGAUUCUUUGUUUUAAACUGAACCAUAGGUACAGUUUCCUUUUUGCCAAAUGUCAAAACAGGUACAAAUUUUAAAAUGUAAUGCUUUUUAAAUAGAAAAAUGUAUAAAAUUAGAAGUGCCCACAUAUAAAAAAUACUUGAGAUGAAGAUUAUCUUUAGUGAAUAUCAUCUGCAUAUCUCUGUAAGUUCAAUUGUGUUUCUUACAGUCCCUGUCAUAUUACCAA
rnacentral:lncRNA from 1 species